rnacentral:lncRNA from 1 species
UAAACGAGCUGCCAGUGUCAAACUCCCAUCGUUAGCUGGACUUGGUAGCAUGUAAAUUUUACCUUCUUGGACGACAUUCCCUGGCCCCAUAUAUAUGGGACGACCCCAUCCGAAAUCUGCCUCAUAUAUAGGCAACCAGUUCCAUGGAACAACAACAAGGUUUGGGCAUCGAAAAGUAUGCGGUCCUCUAACCAAGGUGUUUAAAUCAGGCACUUUUUCAAUGUAAUCAAUAGCUGAUCUUAAAUAUUCAUCAUUUAUCUGAUUUAAUCGUUCAUGAAUCCUCUUUAUGGUGUCAGUAAACGAUUCGGUUUCGAGAUCACCAGCUUCAGCAAUUAGUGCAGUCGUAAAGAUUACAUUGCCGAAGUAGCCUGGUGGGAGCGGAGGAUCCAAUCUAUAUCGACCGUCAACUGGAAAAUACAGCUUGGUAUCUUGAUCAGCUGAGAGACCCCUUGCUUUACUUACACAACGCCAUAUAUGUGCAGCCAAGAUGUUGAAGCUGCUAUAUUUUAUACCACCGUUUGCAUUUGCAACAUUUGCUUUGGCUUUCAGGGUGUUCAAUUGAUCAGCUGUGAGCUCAAAGGUGGAGACAAUGGAUGGCUUAUGAUCAUCUGAUUGAGAUUUUAAUGCAGACUUCAAUGCCGGUGAAGGGUCAUAUUCAACAUGGUGGAGCUUAGGCGUUGGUGGGUCCCGAGCACGA